ACGGGUGAGUAACACGUGGGCAACCUGCCCUUGAGACUGGGAUAACUUCGGGAAACCGGAGCUAAUACCGGAUAAUAUAAGGAACCUCCUGGUUCCUUGUUGAAAGAUGGUUUCGGCUAUCACUUAAGGAUGGGCCCGCGGCGCAUUAGCUAGUUGGUGAGGUAACGGCUCACCAAGGCGACGAUGCGUAGCCGACCUGAGAGGGUGAUCGGCCACACUGGGACUGAGACACGGCCCAGACUCCUACGGGAGGCAGCAGUAGGGAAUCUUCCACAAUGGACGAAAGUCUGAUGGAGCAACGCCGCGUGAGUGAUGAAGGCCUUCGGGUCGUAAAGCUCUGUUGUUAGGGAAGAACAAGUGCGGGAGUAACUGCUCGCACCUUGACGGUACCUAACCAGAAAGCCACGGCUAACUACGUGCCAGCAGCCGCGGUAAUACGUAGGUGGCAAGCGUUAUCCGGAAUUAUUGGGCGUAAAGCGCGCGCAGGUGGUUUCUUAAGUCUGAUGUGAAAGCCCACGGCUCAACCGUGGAGGGUCAUUGGAAACUGGGGAACUUGAGUGCAGAAGAGGAAAGUGGAAUUCC
rnacentral:rRNA from 1 species